rnacentral:rRNA from 1 species
UGGGCGAAAGCCUGAUCCAGCAAUGCCGCGUGAGUGAUGAAGGCCUUAGGGUUGUAAAGCUCUUUUACCCGGGAUGAUAAUGACAGUACCGGGAGAAUAAGCCCCGGCUAACUCCGUGCCAGCAGCCGCGGUAAUA